AGUGUAGAACUUGUUAUACUUGGGAUGCACAUGGAGAUGCCUGGAGACAGUUGGCUCUGUGAGUCUGUAGCUCAGGGGAAGUUAAGCUCCAGGAUGGAUAUUGGGGAGUUGGUAUUUUCUAAGGAAAAUGUGCUCAGAGUAAUGAACAGAACUGAGAUUAGAAGCAUAGAGAGCAUUUUAAGAGAGAAACAACAGAACAGGAGGCAAAAAAAAAAAAAAAAAAAAAAAAAAAAGAAAAAGAAAAAAAGGAGAAGAAGGAGAUGAGGAAAAAAUGGUCCUAUAUAUUAAAAGUAGAAGGAAUUAUAAGACAAGAGAGGAGAAAAUUGUUAAGAGGAAAUGAGUAGUUAAUAUUGUCAGCUGCCACAAAGAGGUCAGCUAAGGUUUGCACUGGGAAAAAAAGAAGCAGUAGAUUUAGUAACGAUGGGGAGGGAGAAUAUCAGAGUUUUGCCAGAAACCCUUGAGUCUGGAGUGGUACGGCUGGAGUCCAGAUUGCAGUCUGUGGAGGAGUGGACAGGAGACCAAGAAAUUCUCGAGUUCUCUUCAGAGACCAACUGGGGAUCAACAAUUCAAUUUAAUUCUGACACCCAAGGUUGUGCUUUUGGUGUUAUAAAU
rnacentral:lncRNA from 1 species